AGCUUUGUGCAGUGGCAGUAAGGUAGCCAAUGAGGUUUAUUUGAGGCAUGAUUACUGCUGAUUGAAACAGAUUCAUAGUGCACAGAGAGUGGGAUUUGUAGUUAGCUACAUCUGGAUUUUUAAAUCCCCACCCUACUGUUUAUCAGUUGGAUAAACUUGGG
ensembl:snRNA U4 U4 spliceosomal RNA